ensembl:processed_transcript Gm26871 predicted gene, 26871
AUCAGCUGAAGGCUCUCGCCUGGGACUCCUCCGAAGCAUGAGCAAGCCGCCACCACGCGAAGGCACUGGGGCACAGCCAGCGAGAGGCGACAAGGUCCCUUCCCAGGGCUUGUUAACACUGUAACCGGGCGCUCAGAGAGCAGCGGCUCCCACUGCCCAAGCCUGCCUCGCCGCCCAUCCGAUGACUCCUGGCUUCUGCACACAGUUGGAGUUCAGCCGGCAACCUGGAUUUAGAGGGGUCCGCUCGCUGCCAUGACACUCAAUCAAAGCACCUAGAGUGAGCUGGUCAUGACCAGAGUCCGCAUGAAGCAGAGCAAAUACCAAGGAGAGCGCUGGGUGACCACCAGAAUUGGAAAUAGAACAGCCAUUUGGAAGAUCUGGGCAGGAAGCAAUAGAGCACAGCUUUGGAGCCUUCUUUAGGGAAAUCGAGUUAUGGAUUUAUGGUCCCGGUCAAGCUCAGCCCAGCCCUAGCCAGGGGCGGGCUCCGCAGCAAGAGUUCUUUCUGGCGGCGGCGGCGGUGGCGGCAGCGGCAGCGGCAGCAGUGACAGCGGUAGCAGAGGCAGAGGCAGCGGCAGCUUGGCCCUCUGACUCUCUUCGGUGACGGGUAUUCUUGGGUGGAUAAUACGGAUUACGUUGUUAUUGCUUAAGAAUACGCGUAGUCGAGGAGAGUACCAGCGGCAGGCGGGCAGCGGCCG